AGGAAUUGGCGGGGGAGCACCACAAGGGGUGAAGCCUGCGGUUCAAUUGGAGUCAACGCCGGGAAUCUUACCGGGGGCGACAGCAGAAUGAAGGUCAAGCUGAAGACUUUACCAGACAAGCUGAGAGGAGGUGCAUGGCCGUCGCCAGCUCGUGCCGUGAGGUGUCCUGUUAAGUCAGGUAACGAGCGAGAUCCCUGCCUCUAGUUGCUACCAGAACUCUCAGGAGUAUUGGGGCUAAUUAGAGGGACUGCCGUCGCUGAGACGGAGGAAGGAGGGGGCUACGGCAGGUCAGUAUGCCCCGAAACCCUCGGGCCACACGCGGGCUGCAAUGGUAAGGACAAUAAGUUCCAAUUCCGAAAGGAGAAGGCAAUCUUCAAACCUUACCUCAGUUAUGAUUGAGGGCUGAAACUCGUCCUCAUGAAUAUGGAAUCCCUAGUAACCGCGUGUCACUAUCGCGCGGUGAAUACGUCCCUGCUCCUUGCACACACCGCCCGUC
rnacentral:rRNA from 1 species